rnacentral:rRNA from 1 species
ACCGGCAGCUCAAGUGGUGGCCAUUUUUAUUGGGCCUAAAGCGUUCGUAGCCGGUUUGAUAAGUCUCUGGUGAAAUCCCGCAGCUUAACUGUGGGACUUGCUGGAGAUACUAUUAGACUUGAGGUCGGGAGAGGUUAGGGGUACUCCCAGGGUAGGGGUGAAAUCCGAUAGUCCUGGGAGGACAACAAGGGGCGAAGGCGCCUCACUGGGACUGAGAUGACGCGGAGUAACGAAAGCCACUGGCGCAAACAG